rnacentral:snRNA from 1 species
GUAAUUAUUAUUCAUGUAUGG